AGAACAGAAGAGCGGCUGCUUAUUCGGUCUUCCAAAAUGUCUUUCUGAGGAUUCCUCCAAAAUAAUCAGGAUGUGUGAAGCUCAUGGGAAUCCCUUGGUGUGAUUGAAAAGGAAUGCAGACUGUUGAUUAGACACGAAGGCCCUCUGCCUGAGUCAUGUGGCUGUGGUGGUAGAGGACAACAUCGUCCUACAUGACCUCCAAGCUGUGCACAAUGGGGUCAAUCUACUGCCUCAAUCUCGAGGCCCCCCGCAUUAUGAGGUACUCCUUUGAACUCUUUAGAAAGCCAGCAUCAAACCCGACCAGUGCUGAGCACGAAUCCAUGGAGCCCAGAAACACACUGCUGGGAUAUCACCUGUAAACAUAGCUCCUGGAAGAAGGAGUGCCUGCUUUGGACUCAUGUUUGUUCUGCACGCUGUUUUCAGCAGUGUAGUUUGUACAGUGCAGGUCAUAUAUAAAACAAGCUACUGAGAUCCUGAACACAAAUGAAUGCACAUUUCAAACCCUCAUUGAGAGUGACCUGUUUGUUUGGGGUCUCAUGCAUUGUUCUUAUUUAUCCGUCCUAUUGUCAACUACAGUUAUUUGGAAGUAUGUAGUUACCAUUUAACAAAGUUCCCUUUUCUUCAUAUUCAGUCAAUAGAUUUUAUGAAACUGUUUGAAAACUGGAACCAACGUGAAACUCUCAAAUGAAGCGGUUUUAAGGCAUUAUCUUAUGAAAUGAUCUGUGAUGUGAAGGCAUGUUUAUUGUAUAACAUUGCUUUUAUUAAAUAAAUGUUAUAUUUCUCAACA